rnacentral:lncRNA from 1 species
UACAGAUGAAGAAACUGAGGCAGACAGAGGUGAAGAAACUUGCACAAGGUCAAAGAACAAUCUUUCAGAAAAUGGCAUUGCGUACUGAGGACAGUGAGAAAUAGGAGGUUAUGUUUCCUAUCAAAGCCCUCCAUGUAGAAAGGUGAGCUCUCAGAGAUGAUCUGAAUUAUCUUUGCUUCCACCGUUUCUGCCUAUUGCUACCUGAUCUGUCACAUCCAUGACUGAGAAAUAUUGUCAGCUGGAGAGGCUGAAGAAAUCUGAAAAAAGGCUGAAAGCUGGAACAACUGAUGGAAUUCUACGAGACUGUACAAACAAACAAACACUAGCAAAAGAAAUAAGCUGGACACAAGGGGAGGAUUCAUCAUCAAAUCAUUACAUGAUUUCAUGUUAAUGUGGGGAAGGGAAAUAUUUGUCAAUGGCUAUGUCUCAAACUGCCCCUGGAGAAGUCGAAAGAAUACCUGAAGCUACAUUAGAAGUACGAUUGAGAAAUCACUGAUAUAUUACUUCUCACUCCUUUAUCGCCAGGCAGUACAGUGAUUGCAAAUUGCAGUUAGAAUGGGAAUGUCGGCAUGUUGUUUAUUUUCAACAUGAUUCGACAUGAGAAUAACAAAAAUUCCUGAAGAAAAAUAAGUAGGCUUAUUACCGAAAUACCACCCACCAAACCUAAGAAGAGAGCAGCCUCUCCCUUGAGUAAUAAACCAGCUACAAAAGAUCAUUCCUGGGGAAUAUACGCGUUGCUGCUUGGUAUUCAAAAUACAGCGCUACUUAAUAGAAUUCCGGGUGCCGACGGUGAUUUCUCAGACAUCUGAAUCAUUUUCAUCUGUGUGAUUACAGCACGGAGUGGGUAUCUUCUGACAACAUAGAGGUGGUCUGCUUCUUAGCUGCUCUACAAAAGUUUGGAAGUCAUUCCUCGUUCCAUUAUUUCAGGAUUGACUUCCUCAGCCCAAACGUGGGUAGACACACAACAAUCUCUCUGCCCACACAUGAUGGGAUGCUCAGGUCUU